AGUACUGAAUAGUGACUACUUGAUUCAAUUCGGUCUCUCUUUUUUCUUUUACAGAAUUUUGAAUACAAGUAACAGACAGAGAAAAAUGGUACAAAGGGUUAAAAGCAGUCUUAGUAACGUUGGAGAUGUGGAGAGAAAAUUAGAAGAGAGAAGCAGAAAUAAGGAGGCCCUGAGUCACAAAACACUGAGAUUGGGUUUGAAGAUACUGGACCUGAAAAUAAUAGACUUCGCUCAGUUUAAUGCACAGGAUUAUUAAACAUGAAGAAAGUCACGGGUGCUGGAAAUGGAUACUGGUGAUGACUACAUAACACUGCGAAAAUAUUUAGUGCCACUGAAUCGGACACUUAGCCAUGGUUAAAAUGGUAAGUUUUAUGUAUAUUUUGCCACAAUAGAAAAAAAGAUAUGAAAACGGCAUAGGUAAAGAAUAUACCUAAUACAAGCCUGUUUCUCAGGUGACCCCUUUUAUUCUUUAUGAACACUUAUUCCAGGUGGAACCAUGAAAAUAGUCAGCAACUUCAGGAAUCUGCCACACCUGAGAAGCCCUCCAAGAAAGCAUCUUGAGUUUUAUCCUCCCC
rnacentral:lncRNA from 1 species